CCUACGGGAGGCAGCAGUGGGGAAUAUUGCACAAUGGGGGAAACCCUGAUGCAGCGACGCCGCGUGAGUGAAGAAGUCAUUCGUUAUGUAAAGCUCUAUCAGCAGGGAAGAAAAUGACGGUACCUGAGUCAGAAGCUCCGGCUAACUACGUGCCAGCAGCCGCGGUCAUACGUAGGGGGCAAGCGUUAUCCGGAUUUACUGGGUGUAAAGGGAGCGUAGACGGGAGGGCAAGUCUGGAGUGAAAGGCGGGGGCUCAACCCCCGGACUGCUCUGGAAACUGUACGGCUGGAGUGCAGGAGAGGUAGGUGGAAUUCGUGGUGUAGCGGUGAAAUGCGUAGAUAUUAGGAGGAACACCAGUGGCGAAGGCGGCUUACUGGACUGUAACUGACGUUGAGGCUCGAAAGCGUGGGGAGCAAACAGGAUUAGAUACCCUAGUAGUC
rnacentral:rRNA from 1 species